GAAAAUAAAUUCACCCAAACCGUUGUCAGGGUCCGGCUACGUGGCUAUGACUCGGAAUGUAAUCCACAUGUUCACAAAGCACCAUGAAAUGUAAAAUUAUAAUUUUGUAAAAGAAAUAAGCAGAUAGGAUAUCUUGUCGACAAUAUAUUUCCGUAGCCUGUACUACCGGUACGACAGAUAUUGUAUUGGCCAAUAAACCCAAAAAAAUGCUGCAGGUGUGUACAAAUUACACACGGAACACUAGAUAGCGUCUAUCAUGAAGCUAAUCCUGGACGUGGUGACAAGUGAACAGGUUUACAGCCUAGUAAGUGAUAGCGGGUGAUAGGUAAUGGAGUCUUCAGCGACAUGUAUCGCAUAAGAGCAGCCCCGCCCCACGAACAUGCGCCCCAGAAGCAAAGCGCACAAAAACGCCCAACGACAUGUCCUCUGUUCUCUAGACGAGACGCACUGCAUCGCACUGCACUGCCGCCUCAAGCUUCGUGAAGCUUUAGUGAAUCCCAAGGGCUUAUCACGACCUGGAGCCUGCUGAUUAUGAUGACUGAGUGCACUGCGGGAUGCUGGGUUGGAUACGCUGGGUGAGCUACAGCGGCAUGAAAACGCACAGCGCGUCACGAGUAUUUAUGGGGGUAACAACUCCGGGCAAGUGCAGCAGCUAUAUAAUUUCCGCCCAUAUCCGAGAAUCCUUACAGGGCCAAAGGUGAGGGGCGUAAGGCCGGCUGGCACUGAUGUCCCAGUCCCAAUCUCAAGUGUGUACGGCGUUGUUUGCAUCCUCGCUCAUGGUUUCGCCUGCGUUAGCUGGGCGCACGUAUCCACACGCUCUGCUAUCGCGUGGAACUGGUAACGUAACCUGCCAGCGUACGCCACACUUAGCACGAGCCCUACUUUACCAUUAGCUUGAUAUAAGCGAGGGCUGCCCUUGCUCCAAGUUUCGGGCUUCCUGUUUCAGUGCAAGGUAAAUCAAAACGUUACCUCACGUUAUUUUGGAUAGGAAAUACAACAGGUUAUUCAUUCACUCCGACGAGUUCUAGGCAUCCAUUUGUGCCGAGUGAAGCUGACUGGAAACCUGCAACGCCUUCCAAAUAGCUUCAGCGAAAAUCUGCAACAGGUAUGUAUGUGUUGUUUACAUCGGGAAAGGAUGAAACGCUGACUUUGGAAACAUGGCAUGUCCCGGUCGUACUUCAAAGCUUACUACGAGCGCAAAGGAAGCAAUUUGUACAAAACGUAGAACAUAACAUAUGACUUCCUGAAUAGGUC
rnacentral:lncRNA from 1 species